UGGGUAAGGUAUCUAAUGAUGGAACGUUGCCCUGGCAGCACCUUCGUUGACGCUCUGUUCCCAGCAUCCCAGCUCCAUUCCUGCAGGCCCAACCUGAAGGAUAGAAAAUUGCUGCUGCAGCUUGAACUACUGACUUCUCACCGAGCUCAAUGCCACGAAUAGUUCUCUGCCAGCAGUCACCACACCACGCAACUUGUCGAUGAACUGACUGCAGAAAGACAGCUAUGGCAUCUCCAGGCAAAGAGAGCAUCCCACAUGACAGGUAGGAAUUAAUUUGGUGUUCUCCUAUCUUCCUGGAUGCUUGGACUAGUUAUUAGAUUAUAUAUUUUUUUAAAGUAGAAAACUGAGUGCAAGCAUCACAGUGAUGAGGUGGAGCAGAAAGGUUUUCCCUUAGAAGCCAAACCUGUAAAACUGAUUUUUUGGAGUCAUUUUCCUGCAGUUCCCAUUGCUUUUUGAACAUCGCUCUCUUUGGCUGCCAGUAUGUUUUACCCUCAUACCAGAAAUCUGUGAUCUUUUCCCCUGUUAUGCUGUCCCAAGGCACAAAAGAACAGUGAUUGCUGCAUAUGGGAAAGGCAUGGGUGAACAGAAACUCAGGUAUUGAUGAGAUUCAAACCAUUCUCUUGCACUUCCUCUGCUGCCAUUCUCCAAAACACGUAUUCAUAUAUAUAUAUUUAAUUGUCAAUAUAACUACGAAGAAUUGGUUAAAAAAAUCCACUUUCUGGAAUUCUGGAAUAUAAUGCAUAACAGCCGGGUCAAAACCAAACCAGAAUCACAGGCAUUUAGUUUCUUGGUGUCCUACAUACCUCGCUGCCUCAUCUGGGGAUUGGAUAUUGCUGCAAAAUGAAUCUGACAGCUGUAGUGAAUCUGAAGGGUACAUUGUGUUCUGUACAUAGAUGUUAUCUUGAUUCAAUUGGAAUAUAAAUCUGGAUAUUUAACACCCUUGCACAGUGUGGUUUCUGACAGUUUCAGUGCCAAAGCCAACAAGGACUAUAAACCUCUUUCUGACUUUAACUGUUUGUGAAAGUUCUUACUGGUGAUGGAACAUUUGAAGACAUUAACAGUGAUAAGUCAGUAGUGCCUGGGGAGAUAAUGGAAAUUCCUCCUGAUGGCUGCCAAAAUCUCAUCGGGUACAGCCUCCAGGACAGUCUUGUUUGUGGAAUAAGGUGGUUUCUCUUUUAAAGUCUUUCCUUUCAUUUAAACACUGAAGCACAUAGGGUUGCUUUCCCCUUGGUUCUCAGAAAUGUUUCAUUUUUAACAACUCUUUCUUUCUUUCUUUCUUUCUUUCUUUCUUUCUUUCUUUCUUUCUUUCUUUCUUUCUUUUUCAUAAUAAGCUGCAUACAUCUUGGCCUUCUGUUCUUAAAGCAAAAACUACCUUUUGGUUAUGUUCCUCCCCUCCCAUUUUUUCAGUGCCAUGCUGGUUUACCUUUCCCCCACCACUUCUGUAGCCAUGCAGCAUGGGUGAGACCUGGUGCUGAGUGCUUUGCAUACUUAGCCCAGCAAGGGUGUGCUGCUGGCAGCCAGAUGGAGAUCUGGAAGUGCUAAGUUUAAGAAGGUGCUAUAAAGCAAAGCCUGUGGAGAGGUGCUUGGUCUAGACUCCUGCCAUUGCUCACAGCCUGUGCCUUGAUUUGCCUCGUUAAACUGGUUUUUGUCUAUGCUUUUAUGUUUGGGUUUCUAGCUUUUACUUGCUUUCCAGUUGUACAUUGGAGACAGAAGUUUUAGGGGAAAGACAAAUCUAUCAUCUCCAUUCUCCUGCAUACGUGAAGCCUGUGAAACACUGUGUAGUGUGGUGUUGUAGACUGUGCUUUACAGCAGCAACGUGUGUGUGUGUUGCACAGCUGCUUCUGCAGCUAGGGCUGGGGGAAGACAGGAGAAUAUCAAGCCCUUGCCAAGUUUGUAUACACUUUGGGAUUGCCAGAGCAUGAGCAGUUCCUUAAAGAUGAACCCCUCUGCUGGCCGCAGCCUCUACUUUUCUAUGAAGGUGAUGAGAAGGGCAGGAGGGCACUGGCUUCUAGGGAUGCUCCAGAGCUGCACUGUUAGGGGUUCUCCUGCAAGUCUGUGGCAGCCUUUGCCUUCUGACCUGGUGCAAAAGUCCUCUUUGCAAAUAAAAAGGCUCUGCUGCUUCGCACGUCUGGAAUCACAGCCUGGAAUCACAAUGCAUGUGUGACCCUUCUCACCUUCAGAUGUGGAGGAUUCAUCAGUGGCAAUGGUGAUUUCUAGUCAACAGAACUGGGAGAACGUGCUUUAAUUAAAAGAGCAGUGCCUCUUGAAGGCUGAAAGUAAGGGUGUGUGUCUGUUUAAAAAAACACAGUGUGGUACCAUAUAAUGAGACGUUUGGAAAAGGUUGGUAAGGGCAUGAAGCUGACCUAUUUCUGGGGAUAAACAAGCACUUGUUGUGUUGUACAGCAAAUGUGAUACUUCAGGAAAGCUUAUAGGCCAAUGUCUAAUUACUUUAAUACUGUGUGGCAUCUACUGCAUUUAUCCUUUAUGCUUGCUCAACUGUUUGACAGUAGUGUAAGCUUCU